UGUGUAAUCAGGUGCUUUUUGCAAUAGCUCUAAGCAUGGUUGCAUGCUGAGCUCAACAAUGCAGGCAGAAUCCAGAUCGUCUGCAUUAAAGCACAGCUGAAGUUGCCUUUGGCUGUUUUGGCUGCUUGCAGACUCUUGCAGACAUUAUGCAUAUCUUCUAAAGAGAACUCUGUGGAAUCGUUAUUGGAAAAGAAUAUUUUUUUAGUUUGAGACUGCUGCUAAAGAAUUUGAGUGACUACUGGAUUAUGAAAUGAUAACCGAGAAGCAUGGCCUUCUACUCUGCAAUGCAACUAAAGAGCUGUAACCCAAAAUGUGUGCACUGAGGGAAGUUGUUGAGCAAAGCGCAUCCAUCAAGAAAAGUUGCGUGCAAAAAUAAAUGUCAAUUUGCAU